CCCCCUACUGGACCGCAGCGUUGUUUGCGAGAAGGGUCGCUUGUUGUUUGCUCGUGUUUGCCCCGCCCCAAGUACGUGAAGGCGGCAGAUGAUUGGACGCCUAAAAGUGACGAAGUCAGUUGCGUCAGUUCACAGGCGUGACACAGCUGGUAUAAAGUGACACGAGCGGCCAUGAUUCUUUCUCUGCGGCAACCCUCGGGAAGCAUGUGAGAUGGUUACGUGCUUUUUCGUCAAAGCAUCUGAAAAUUGGUCAAGUAAGAGUCCAUGACGUCCACAGAAGUGAACCUGCUUCUGAAGGCCCAACGCUGGAAUAGGUGUUUCAUUAAUUUGUAUCUGGUCCUUUGAUAUGUGAAAAUGUCGGAACCUCUUUAACCCUUUAUUUGUUUCAAGUCUGUAGCCACGCACCGACUAUUUUUUGCCAUCCUCUUUUGGUCCAGUUUACAGCACAUUUAAACGUGUUUCUGUAUUUUGAGCAUUUCUAAUAAACAAUACAUCUUUA